rnacentral:lncRNA from 1 species
UUGGACCCACAUAGCCACAUAAGAAGCGAAGGGGCAACUGAAAGGCAAAGAACUCAGCUGAAACGAUGGCUUGAGAAAGCAGUGCUGCUCUUCAGACAAUGUUUGUUGACUACAGCUUGCUGUGAAAACAGUGGCAGACAGACGGGCUUGCACACUGUACCUGAGGGCGACUGGAUCUUUCAGAGCAAAGCUGAACUGUGCAUAGUCCUCAAAGAGAAAGGAGAUUCUGAGACUGCUGAGUGGAAACAUGAUGGGAAAGAAAGGUAGGAGAAUUGCAGAAAGAUGGAGGGAUAGCUCACCCCUUGUAUUUUAAUUGCAACCGGACAAUAAAUGUUGGGCAAAAAACUGGAAAAAGCCAGCUCAAGAAAGCAUGUUCCUCUUUACUCA